CCUGCGGCGUUGUUUCGUGUGACGAAAUCAAGGGGCGGGGUUGUUUUUAUACAAAUUCCAUUAUUUUGGCGCUCCCAAAACGCUGGGACAGUCGGAAGAGUGCAGGUGGUGCGGAGAAGAAAGUUUAAAGAGUUAAGAGAGACUUGAAAAUGCUUUAAAAAGAUUGGAAAGAUCUAAUUCAGAACUAAUGCUUACAUAUCCCGAAGAGAAAAUGAAUCAUUGAAAGUUCAUAUGAAGGGAAAAGAAGAUGAUUGGUUUGGAUAGAAGAUGCCAACCACUCCUAUGAGACUCCAGUGGAGAAAGAGAGGCUGUGGUUCUUCAGCAGCUGAUGGAAAUUUAUGUGUACCAGAUACUGUGAUGAGGGCGUGGGAUACCAUGGUGACCUGAGUCCCUGCUCUUAUGAGUUUCCCUACCACAUAACCUCUCAGAACUGAACCAAAACAACAUUGUUCCUAGAGUGCUUAUUUUUAAGGUAGAACUUUAGACUUCAUAGCACUGAAUUAACCUGCACUGAAAGCUGUUUACCUGCAGUUGUUCACUUUUUUGAAAGUGACCAUGUCUCAAGUUCAAGUGCAAGUUCAGAACCCAUCUGCUGCUCUCUCAGGGAGCCAAAUACUGAACAAGAACCAGUCUCUUCUCUCACAGCCUUUGAUGAGUAUUCCUUCUACUACUAGCUCUCUGCCCUCUGAAAAUGCAGGUAGACCUAUCCAAAACUCUGCUUUACCCUCUGCAUCUAUUACAUCCACCAGUGCAGCUGCAGUUCCUUCUAAUAUGGCACACCCCAAAGAGAAAACCCCAAUGUGUCUUGUGAAUGAGUUAGCCCGUUUCAACAAGAUUCAGCCUGAGUAUAAGCUUUUGCGUGAGCAAGGUCCAGCUCACUGUAAGGUGUUUACAGUACAGCUAACACUUGGAGAUCAGCACUGGGAAGCUGAAGGAACUAGUAUUAAAAAAGCCCAACACACAGCUGCUGCCAAAGCUUUGGAAGGAACAAAAUUUCCUAAACCCAUAGUCCGCCCUUUUCGUAGCGAAGGAAGGAAUCCAGGUAUUAUGCGUGGGCCAAGACAGGUUCCUUUCAAAAGUGUGUCUAGAGAAAGCAUAACCCCUACUGUAGAACUAAAUGCACUGUGCAUGAAACUUGGAAAAAAACCAAUGUAUAAGCCUGUCGAUCCUUACUCUCGGAUGCAGUCCACCUAUAACUACAACAUGAGAGGAGGUGCUUAUCCCCCAAGGUACUUUUACCCAUUUCCAGUACCACCUUUACUUUAUCAAGUUGAGCUUUCUGUGGGAGGACAGCAAUUUAAUGGGAAAGGAAAGACGAGACAGGCUGCGAAACACGAUGCUGCUGCGAAAGCUUUGAGGAUCCUGCAGAAUGAGCCCCCACCUGAGAGGCUGGAGGUGAAUGGAAGAGAAUCAGAAGAAGAAAAUCUCAAUAAAUCUGAAAUAAGUCAAGUGUUUGAGAUUGCGCUUAAACGGAACUUGCCUGUGAAUUUUGAGUCUUUCCCUCUAAAACAGGUCGCCCGGGAGAGUGGCCCACCCCACAUGAAGAGCUUUGUGACCAGGGUGUCAGUUGGGGAGUUUGUAGGGGAAGGUGAAGGGAAGAGCAAGAAGAUUUCAAAGAAAAACGCUGCUAUAGCUGUUCUUGAGGAGCUGAAGAAGUUACCACCUCUGCCUACAGUGGAGCGAGUGAAGCCCAGAAUCAAAAAGAAAACAAAGUCUAUAGUCAGGUUACAGAGCACCCAGGAGUAUGGCCAGGGGAUGAACCCCAUUAGCAGACUGGCCCAGAUCCAGCAGGCGAAAAAGGAGAAGGAGCCGGAGUACCUGCUCCUCACCGAGCGAGGCCUCCCGCGCCGCCGGGAGUUUGUGAUGCAGGUGAAGGUGGGAAACCACACUGCAGAAGGAUCCGGCACCAAUAAGAAGGUGGCGAAACGCAAUGCAGCCGAGAACAUGCUGGAGAUCCUUGGUUUCAAAGUCCCACAGGCUCAGCCCACCAAACCAGCCCUCAAAUCCGAGGAGAAGACACCCAUAAAGAAACCAGGGGAUGGAAGAAAAGUAACCUUUUUUGAACCUGGCUCUGGGGAUGAAAACGGGACUAGCAAUAAAGAGGACGAGUUUAGGAUGCCUUAUCUUAGUCAUCAGCAGCUGCCUGCUGGAAUUCUUCCCAUGGUGCCUGAGGUUGCCCAGGCCGUAGGGGUCAGUCAAGGACAUCACACCAAAGACUUCACAAGGGUGGCUCCAAAUCCUGCCAAGGCCACGGUAACUGCCAUGAUAGCCCGUGAAUUGUUGUAUGGGGGCACCUCGCCUACAGCCGAGACCAUUUUAAAGAAUAACAUCUCUUCAGGCCACGUACCCCAUGGACCCCUCACGAGACCGUCCGAGCAGCUGGACUAUCUCUCCAGAGUCCAGGGAUUCCAGGUAACUGUGAGGCCUGAGUUGUGUCCUGUACCUCAGUGCAGUCAUCUCUGCUUCCUCGCAGAUCUGAGUACCUCGUUUGUGGUUUUGUUGUUGUUGUUAGGGCCGCACCCACGGCAUUUGGAAGUUCCUAGGCUAGGAGUCAAAUUGGAUCUACAUCUGUCGGCCUACACCACAGUGACAGCAAGGUGGGAUCCAAGCCGCAUCUGUGACCCACACCACAGCUCACGGCAAUGCAGGAUCCUUAACCCACUGAGCAAGGCCAGGGAUCGAAUCCACAACCUCGUGGAUGUUAGUCGGGUUUCUUUCCUCUGAGUCACGAUGGGAACUCCACCGCCUUUUUUUUUUUUUUUUUAAAUCAAAAUCUUUGUCCAGGGGGAUGGUUGGGGACGGUUGGUCAAGGGUGGUCCUGAGGUCAGGGAGGGGGGUGGUGCUGCUGUGGAAGGUAGUGGAAGCCUGGAUGGUAAGAGAAUCCUCAACCUUUGGUAGUAACAUUUUAACAAUCCAGACCAACCAUAUUAACAAAGCCUCUAAUUCGGUGGUAGUUACACAUUUAGACUUCAGUGAGCACAGACUCCUUGUGCUGGCCCUUUCUGCCUGGUAGGAAGGACAUGGCUUCUUCCAGAGGAAGGUUUUUAAGUAGAAUCUAGGUUCCUAGAAGAUUCUGCAAACUGGGGCCCUGGUAACCUGCCUUCAGCCCAGGUGCCUCUUGGCCCCUCCGACAGUCUCUAGUGCCUGUUGAGCCGGAGUUGGUGUAGCCAGGUCACUCCAGGGAGAGAGGAGUCUUGUCUGCUGGGCCCAGAGCCGAGGCCCUGUCCCGUUCCCCGCUUCCCUAGCCUUGCCUUGGUUUUCUUUUCCCCUUUAGGUUGAAUACAAAGACUUCCCCAAAAACAACAAGAACGAAUUUGUAUCUCUUAUCAACUGCUCCUCUCAGCCGCCCCUGAUCAGCCAUGGUAUUGGAAAGGAUGUGGAGUCCUGCCACGACAUGGUACGUUUCCCGCACGGUGCGCUGGCUCAGGCAAGGCCCUCUUCUAGACUCUGACAGUGGCUGGUCUCACAGAUUCCUUACGUCGGAAGCCUUUUUUCUUCGGUUACUGCCUUAACUUCUCACUCUUUAUCAGAACUCUCCUCCCUUCCCUUGCUGACCUGGCAGGGAGACUUGGAUCCUGGACCCUCUCCAGAUGCUGUAUUCAGUUCAUUUCUUAUUGAAACAAGGAGUAGCAGGGCCAAGUGUUGGCACCUUAAAAAGCCCCUUGUUUUGGUGUUCUGUUCAGAUGAAAUUAUUGUUGUAAGAAAUAUUACAAACCAAGGAAAGGAACUGAUUAAUUUACACAGACUGGCAUAUUCACCUGGUGGAGUAUAAUGCAUCCAUCACAUUAAUGUCACUGAAAGUAAUGCAUUCUAACAAGGAACCAUGGUAGGCUUUUUUAUUUUUUUAAAUUUAUUCUUUGACCACGUCCAUGGCAUGUAGAAAUGCCUGGGCCAGGGAUAGAACCCCAUCACGGCAGUGACCCAAGUCACUGCACUGACAGUGCCAGAUCCUUAACCUGCUGAGCUGCAAGGGAACUCUAUGAUAGACUGUAAUUUAAUUUUUGUCUUUUGUCUUUUUAGGGCCGCACCCACAGCUAUGGAGGUUCCCAGGCUAGGGGUCUAAUUGGAGCUACAGCUGCUGGCCUGCAGCAUGGCCAGAUCUGAGCCAUGUCUGUGACCUACACCACAGCUCCCAGCAACUCUGGAUCCUUAACCCACUGAGCAAGGCCAGGGAUUGAAUCCAAAACCUCAUGGUUCCUAGUCGGACUCGUUUCUGCUGUGCCAUGACAGGAAUUCCACAACCUCUGUUAUUUUAUAGCAGGAUAUGAACUUUGUACAGGCUGGUGACCACAAGAUUAAAAAUACUAGAAGGCAGUACGUAUACAACUAAGAGGUUGUGGUUCAGUGAGAUAACCAUGCGCAACUUUUUCUUUUUGGCCACACCCGUGGCGUGUUGAAGUUCCCAGGCCAGGGGCUGAACCUGAGCCACAGCUGUUCUCUGCACAGUUCUCUCCACUGCGCAGAGAGAACACCAGAUCCUUAACCCGCUGCACCAGUGGCUCCUGGAUAAUUUUUUUUUUUUUUUUACAUUUUUGGUUAAGAAGUUAAACAUGAGAAAGUGUUAUUUAGUGAGAACACCAGUUUUGUGGGGCAGUAGGAGAAUCCUUCGCCUCCUCAUUCAGCAUCUUUUGACCGUGGUCCUGAACAGUGCCGUGUUUUAACUUUUCUCUCCAUUCCUGCUAGGCUGCACUGAACAUUUUAAAGUUGCUGUCUGAGUUGGACCAACAAAAUACAGAGAUGCCAAGAACAGGAAAUGGACCAAUGUCUGUGUGUGGGAGGUGCUGAACCUUAUGGCCACAUGAACCGUUGAAAAAUCCCAACAUAUAUACUGAAAAUAUUGAAACUGCUUUGAAAAUUUGGAAUUUCUGAUACCUCCAGUGGGCCGAGAGACAUGAUGGUUAAAGGACUGGAGACAGCAGUGGUGACCAAGGCGGCAACAGGAGUAGCUGCUGCUGGGGGCGGGGCGGGGCGGGCCUGCCAGGCAGCCCUGGCGCCACUGGGAAACCAGCAGGUCCGUACCCCAGGCACCUCAGUGCUUGGUUUUAGUAGUUUUUUUUGGUUUUGGGGUUCUUUUUUUUCCUUGCUGUGUGAAAGAAGCAGAAAGCACGACUCCUCAACUGGCUCACUCAAACACUUUGGGACAAAUCCUGGACACCCACACUGGAGCGAGGCCUUAGUCUGAAAGCACCAGAGAAAAUCAGAUGCUUCCUCCUCAGCGCAAGUUGACCUUCUUGGCGUGCUCUGGCCCACCACCUCCCGCGGUACCCACACCGUUGCCACUGCUCUCUUCCAAAAGAGAUAUGUAUUCUUAGUUUCAUUACUUUCUUUUGAUUGAAAUGACACUAUAUAAAUUUUCAUUUGAGAGUUUCUCAAUUGUAUCUAGUUACAUAGCACAGUUUAGAAACUUGUCUGAGACUGACUUUAUCAGUAACAUAACCGGCAAAGAUCAUAUCCAUGUGUAUGUGGUUAUACGUUUUUACUUCAUUGGACCUGCCCAGGACCAUUUCAGUGAUGCAAAUUGUGUGGCCUCUGGUUUAGCUGAAACAGUCCUGGACUUCUCAGAACCCUUGGUGAAGUCUCCCACAGUUGUAUAAAUUGAACAGUUUAGGAAUUUUAAACUUUAAACGAUCAUCUGGUUCCUUUUCUAUUUUAUUUUUGUUUAUGCAGCAGGACAAACAAAUGAACUCUGAUCUUUGUUUCAAAGACUAUUAAAAAUUGUGUGUAUGUACAUGACUCUUGAGGACACAGAGCUUUCACUACACUACAGGAUAUGAUCUCAUGUAGCACAUAUACAACUGCAGAUUGAUCUUCCUUGAGUGCUUUACACUGUUGAUUACAUCUCCAUGUAGGGCUGAAAAGAAUGACCCAUGUUUAUCUCUAACUGUGUUGCUUUGGAUGUUGUGUUGCUGUGCACAGACACGUGUGCAGCGAGGUCCUGCAUAUGGUCCAGAUGAAGAGCACGGUAGCCUUGCGAGUUAAGUACUGCUUCCAUUUUUUCUCCCCAUGGAAUGUAAGUAAAACUUAAGUGUUUGUCACCAAUAAAUGGUAAUACUAAAUUUUUUUUGUUAAUUUAUUCUCCAAUGCCACUACUGCCAGGUUGGUCCCUCCCAACCUGUCCCCUUUUGUUAUUUUUAAGAAAAAACUUUGUAAUGCUUGUGAUUCCAUUUGGGCAAAACUCUGAAGCUCUGAAAUAACUUUAUAUCAAACCAUUGAUCAAUAAACAGCUACUAAUGAAUUUCA